rnacentral:rRNA from 1 species
GGAGGACUAACGCUGGCGGCGUGCCUAAUACUUGCAAGUCGAACGGGGAUUUUGUUUCGGCAGAAUCCUAGUGGCGAACGGGUGAGUAACGCGUAGGCAACCUGCCCUCCGGCCGGGGACAACACUCCGAAAGGGGUGCUAAUACCGGAUACGAAGUCUGUGCCGCAUGGUACGGAUUUGAAAGAUGGCCUCUAUUUAUAAGCUAUCGCCGGGGGAUGGGCCUGCGUCCGAUUAGCUGGUUGGUGGGGUAACGGCCCUACCAAGGCGACGAUCGGUAGCCGGUCUGAGAGGAUGAACGGCCACAUUGGGACUGAGACACGGCCCAGACUCCUACGGGAGGCAGCAGUGGGGGAAUCUUCCGCAAUGGGGCGCAAGCCUGACGGAGCAUCGCCCGUCCGCAAUGGGCGCAAGCCUGACGGAGCAAACGCCGCGUGAGUGAGGAAAGUUCUUCGGAACGUAAAGCUCUGUUGUUCCUGACGAACCUCCCCUCUAUGAACAACGGAGGGGACUGACGGUAGGGAACGAGGAAGCCACGGCUAACUACGUGCCAGCAGCCGCGGUAAUACGUAGGUGGCAAGCGUUGUCCGGAAUUAUUGGGCGUAAAGCGCAUGUAGGCGGUAAUUUAAGUCUGUCGUGAAACUGCGGGGCUCAGCCCCGUAUGGCGAUGGAAACUGGGUUACUUGAGUGCAGGAGAGGAAAGGGGAACUCCCAGUGUAGCGGUGAAAUGCGUAGAUAUUGGGAAGAACACCGGUGGCGAAGGCGCCUUUCUGGACUGUGUCUGACGCUGAGAUGCGAAAGCCAGGGUAGCGAACGGGAAGAGAUACCCCGGUAGUCCUGGCCGUAAACG